GUGGGGAAUCUUGCGCAAUGGGGGAAACCCUGACGCAGCAACGCCGCGUGAGUGACGAAGGCCUUCGGGUCGUAAAGCUCUGUCAGAUGGAAAGAAUUAACGUGCUGAAAAUAUUGGCACGUGAUGACGGUACCAUCAGAGGAAGCACCGGCUAACUCCGUGCCAGCAGCCGCGGUAAUACGGAGGGUGCAAGCGUUGUUCGGAAUUAUUGGGCGUAAAGCGCGUGUAGGCGGGAAGACAGGUCAGGUGUGAAAUCCCUUGGCCUAACCAAGGAACUGCAUCUGAAACCAUUUUCCUCGAGUACGAUAGGGGAUGGCGGAAUUCCCAGUGUAGAGGUGAAAUUCAUAGAUAUUGGGAGGAACACCAGUGGCGAAGGCGACCAUCUGGAUCGAUACUGACGCUGAGACGCGAAAGCGUGGGUAGCAAACAGGAUUAGAUACCCUAGUAGUCC
rnacentral:rRNA from 1 species